CAGCAGCCGCCGCGGGAAUACGUAGGUGGCGAGCGUUGUCCGGAAUUAUUGGGCGUAAAGGGAGCGCAGGCGGACAUAUAAGUCCAUCUUAAAAGUGCGGGGCUCAACCCCGUGAGGGGAUGGAAACUGUAUGCCUUGAGUGUAGGAGAGGAAAGCGGAAUUCCCAGUGUAGCGGUGAAAUGCGUAGAUAUUGGGAGGAACACCAGUGGCGAAGGCGGCUUUCUGGACUGCAACUGACGCUGAGGCUCGAAAGCCAGGGGAGCGAACGGGAUUAGAUACCCGUGUAGUCCCUGUCUCUUAUACA
rnacentral:rRNA from 1 species